GCUUUGAAACCCAAGGGAUCUAAUAAAUAUGAUGUCAGAUUCCUUAACUCUUUUACAUCGGGCUGCCUGAAGCUGUACUUCUUUGUAUGCCUCUUUGGUCUUUCCAUGUCUGAAAAUUUUGCAAAAUAACCCUUUAAGUUCCUUGAAUUUUUUUUGUUUUUUUCUGAUGACAUGAAUGCGGAUGAAUGCGUGAAUGUAUGAAUGCAACAAACACACUCAAGGAUCAAACAAAG
rnacentral:lncRNA from 1 species